rnacentral:tRNA from 1 species
GGGGAUGUGGCGAAAUUGGUAGACGCAUUGGACUUAAAAUCCAAUGGUUUGAAAAAAACCGUGAGGGUUCAAGUCCCUCCGUCCCCA